GUGUUCGCUUCAGCAACACGUAUACUAAAAUUGGAAUGAUACAAAGAAGAUUAGCAUAGCCCCUGCAUAAUGAUGAAAUGAAAAUUGUGAAAUGAAAAUUCUAUAUUU